rnacentral:misc_RNA from 1 species
UAUUGUCAGGGGAUAUUGAAUUAGUUAAUCUACCUGUUGAAGUUGGUAUAUCACCUUCAGUGGAGCAGGUUGAAAAGUUUGCAGCACUGGUCUCUGAUUUAAACAAAAAGCUCAUAUAUCUCCACAGUAAAGAAGGAAUUAAGAGGACAUCAGCUAUGGUCUCUAGAUGGAGGCAAUACGUUACUCGCUACACACCACAUGUUGUAGCCAGUACAUAUAAGGCCAUGGACUCGAUUGAG